rnacentral:RNase_P_RNA from 1 species
GGAGUUGGCCAGAUAAUCGCUCUUUUUAGAGAGGAAAGUCCGGGCUCCUAAGGGCAAGAAGCCAGGUAACACCUGGGAGGUGCGAGCCUACGGAAAGUGCAACAGAAAAUAAACCGCCUAAAGUUUCUUUAGGUAAGGGUGAAAAGGUGCGGUAAGAGCGCACCGCUUUGAUGGUAACAUCUUUGGCAAUGCAAACCCCUUCUGGAGCAAGACCAAAUAGAGGUUCUAUAGUGUGCCCUCACUGGACCAGGGUAGGUUGCUUGAGCUCUUCGGUGACGUAGAGCCUAGAUGAAUGAUUAUCCUAGACAGAACCCGGCUUAUAGGCCAGCUCAACCC